ncrna:unclassified sequences FTHFS RNA
AUCGGUACAUGAGUACCGAUAUACCCAACUCGUGCGGUGAGCCAUUCCGACGGUCAGCCGCAUAAGUCCUGUAUGUGCCUGAGCCAUUCCGACGGCAGGGCGCCAAAAUCAGAAUACAAGGAG